rnacentral:rRNA from 1 species
UGCAGUCGAGCGGUAACAGGAGGAAGCUUGCUUUCUUGCUGACGAGCGGCGGACGGGUGAGUAAUGUAUGGGGAUCUGCCCGAUAGAGGGGGAUAACUACUGGAAACGGUGGCUAAUACCGCAUAAUGUCUACGGACCAAAGCAGGGGCUCUUCGGACCUUGCACUAUCGGAUGAACCCAUAUGGGAUUAGCUAGUAGGUGGGGUAAAGGCUCACCUAGGCGACGAUCUCUAGCUGGUCUGAGAGGAUGAUCAGCCACACUGGGACUGAGACACGGCCCAGACUCCUACGGGAGGCAGCAGUGGGGAAUAUUGCACAAUGGGCGCAAGCCUGAUGCAGCCAUGCCGCGUGUAUGAAGAAGGCCUUAGGGUUGUAAAGUACUUUCAGCGGGGAGGAAGGUGAUAAGGUUAAUACCCUUAUCAAUUGACGUUACCCGCAGAAGAAGCACCGGCUAACUCCGUGCC